UGGGGAAUAUUGGACAAUGGGGGCAACCCUGAUCCAGCGACGCCGCGUGUGUGAAGAAGGCCUGCGGGUUGUAAAGCACUUUUAGUGGGGAUGAAAAGCACAUUGCUAAUACCAGUGUGUCUUGACCUAACCCAAAGAAAAAGCACCGGCUAACUCUGUGCCAGCAGCCGCGGUAAUACAGAGGGUGCGAGCGUUAAUCGGAAUUACUGGGCGUAAAGCGUGCGUAGACGGUUAUUUAAGUCGGGCGUGAAAGCCCCGGGCUCAACCUGGGAAUUGCAUUCGAGACUGAAUAGCUAGGGUACGGUAGAGGGAAGUGGAAUUUCCGGUGUAGCGGUGAAAUGCGUAGAUAUUGGGAGGAACACCAGUGGCGAAGGCGGCUCACUGGACCGGAACUGACGCUGAGGCGCGAAAGCGUGGGGAGCAAA
rnacentral:rRNA from 1 species